UACGUAGGGUGCUAGCGUUGUCCGGAAUCAUUGGGCGUAAAGAGCGCGUAGGCGGCUAGAUAAGUCCGGUGUGAAAGUCACAGGCUCAACCUGUGAAUGCCGCUGGAAACUGUCUGGCUAGAGUCCGGAAGGGGCGAGUGGAAUUUCUGGUGUAGCGGUGAAAUGCGCAGAUAUCAGGAGGAACACCAAUGGCGAAGGCAGCUCGCUGGGACGGUACUGACGCUGAGGCGCGAAAGCGUGGGGAGCGAACAGG
rnacentral:rRNA from 1 species